ensembl:lncRNA
UUUUUUUUUUCCCAAAUGUUCGGGGCGUUGUUUGGUUCUUUCCUUCCAGGUGUUAUUGACUGUCCAUGUCGGGGGUUGGUUGGUUCUUUCCUCAGGUGUUAUUGACUCAUGUCGGGGCGUUUGGUUCUUUCCUCAGGUGUUAUUGACUGUCAUGUCGGGGCGUUGGUUGGUUCUUUCCUUCAGGUGUUAUUGACUGUCAUGUGGGGAGUUUGGUUCUUUCCUCAGGUUUUAUUGACUGUAUGUCGGGGCGUUGUUUGCGUUUCUUGUUUAUGUACCGUUUCUUUAUUAAACACUCCCUGUAGUUGCAUCCCGACUCUCAGAGUUCAUGUUUACACGCGCCCUCUCAGCUGGUGUGGGACCUCACAACCAAGCUGCAACCCGCACUGCUCAAAAGAAACAAUUACAAUA